GAGCUAGUUUCACUGCAGAAGAAUAGGUAUCUGGUCUUAGAUGAGGCAGCUAGGAUGCUGGACAUGAGUUUUGAACCCCAGAUUAGGAAGAUUGUAGAACAAAUAGAUAUGCCCCCAGCAGGUGAAGAUUUAAAGCUAUUUUGUUGUUGAAGGUGGAAUCUUGGCAAUUUAGUGGACUCAAUUUCUUAAUGUUUUUUGAGAUUGUUAUGUAUGACAUAAUAUGUCUAUUUUAAAUGUUAGUAAGAUAAUGUUUUCCACUACUAAGUAAAAAUAUUCUACACUGCACUAUGGUGAACAUUGUUUAACUAUUGGUUUAUCGUUGUAAGACUUUUAUGUAAAUUUUUAAUAUAUACGAUGAACACCUUUUAUUUUA